UUACAGUGAUGUUUUUGAAUUUCUUCACCUGAAUGUCAACUGAAGACCACAUUUUUCCUGAGUAAC
ensembl:snoRNA SNORD36 Small nucleolar RNA SNORD36